rnacentral:rRNA from 1 species
UACGUAGGGUCCGAGCGUUGUCCGGAAUUAUUGGGCGUAAAGGGCUCGUAGGCGGUUUUGUCGCGUCUGCCCGUGAAAAGUCCGGGGGCUCAACUCCCGGAUCUGCGGUGGGGUACGGGGCAGACUAGAGUGAUGUAGGGGGAGACUGGAAUUCCUGGUGUAGCGGUGAAAAUGCGCAGAUAUCAGGAGGAACACCGGUGGCA